rnacentral:rRNA from 1 species
CCUACGGGUGGCAGCAGUGAGGAAUAUUGGUCAAUGGCCGGAAGGCUGAACCAGCCAAGCCGCGUGAAGGACGAAGGUGCCAAGCAUUGUAAACUUCUUUUGUCAAGGGACAAAAUCAGGCUCGAGAGCCUGACCGAGGGUACUUGAAGAAAAAGCAUCGGCUACCUCCGUGCCAGAAGCCACGGUAAUACGGAGGAUGCAGGCGUUAUCCGGAUUUAUUGGGUUUAAGGGGUGCGUAGGCGGACUGUUAAGUCAGCGGUAAAAGCCCGGGGCUCAACUUCGGAAUUGCCUCUGAUACUGUUCGGCUAGAGAGUAGUUGCGGUAGGCGGAAUGUAUGGUGUAGCGGUGAAAUGCUUAGAGAUCAUACAGAACACCGAUUGCGAAGGCAGCUUACCAAGCUACUUCUGACGUUGAGGCACGAAAGCGUGGGGAGCAAACAGGAUUAGAUACCCGGGUAGUC